GCCCGGCUAGCUCAAUCGGUAGAGCGUGAGACUCUUAAAUCACGCGGUUCUAGGACCCAAUCUCAAGGUUGUGGGUUCGACCCCCACGUCGGGCU